UCCGGUUUGUCACCGGCAGUCUCCUUAGAGUUCCCACCAUUACGUGCUGGCAACUAAGGACAAGGGUUGCGCUCGUUGCGGGACUUAACCCAACAUCUCACGACACGAGCUGACGACAGCCAUGCAGCACCUGAACCACCAGUCCCCGAAGGGAAGAUCCUAUCUCUAGAGCUUUCCGGCAUAUGUCAAACCCAGGUAAGGUUCUUCGCGUUGCAUCGAAUUAAUCCGCAUGCUCCGCCGCUUGUGCGGGCCCCCGUCAAUUCCUUUGAGUUUCAACCUUGCGGUCGUACUCCCCAGGUGGAUCACUUAAUGCUUUCGCUCAGACGCGUACAGUAUAUCGCACACAUCGAGUGAUCAUCGUUUAGGGCGUGGACUAC
rnacentral:misc_RNA from 1 species